UAUACAUUUUAUGAACUGAGACAAUCUUCCAAAUUACUAGGCCUUUACUGCAUCUAAUAUUAAGAGCUUUAAAACUCUUUGUAGAAAAGGAGGGGUUUUCAAGCAAGUGUGGGUUUUUACCUUAACUUUUAAACUUUCCUUCUGGAGAAUUUUAUUUUGUUUAGUUUGGGCAUACCAGGGUCCUAGGUGGGUGGUAUUUUGUGACUGGAGCUUACUUCUGUGUUUAGGAGGUUGUGGUUGGAUUUAGACACCUGGUGCAAGGACUCUUGCCUUCCAGCCCUUUGCUCCUGGCUGAUUGUCUCUCCCCAUUUCCCCUGACUCCUUUGUCUGUGGCUAGGCCUUCUGCUUAUUACACUUUUGCCUUUGACUCCUUUCCAUAGAGAUCAUAGCAUCCCUGCAAGGUGAAUGGAUUCCCUUAACCUGUGUGGUUAAAGUUGCUGAAAACCAGGUGGCAUCUUAGCAGUAUUGGGAAUUACUUAGCAAGUACAAUCAGUUUAGGAGAUGUUUACUGAGCACCAUGUCAGGGAGCCACAGGGGAGAAAGUUGGGAAAGACACAGGCUUGGUUUCUUGGCCUCAAGAGCUUGUCCAAUAGGGGAGCAAGAGCCUGCUUAUAAUUCAAGGUAGAGGAAGGUCUGGGUCAGGAGGAAUUGAAGGAGAAAGGGCUGUAUCCCAGGAAGCUGGGGACUGGGCAACAGAGGGGUUGGGAGAGGCAAGUAUUUGAGACAGACCUUCAUUGGUGGCCAGGGUCUUAAUGGAUUGAGAGAAAUUUAUGGGAAGGAACAGCUUGAGCAAAGGCCCAGGGAUGGGGAAGUUUUGGUUUAGGUUUUAGGAAAUAGUACUAGUUGCCUGGCCUUUAUAAAUGGCUGACUGGAGAAGACCCC